rnacentral:lncRNA from 1 species
GAAAGACCCGAGGGGCUUGGGGUGUUAGCAGAGAAAGGUGCAAGGUUUCCAUCUGCAAAGAGAUUUUCGAGUGACCAUGACCAGCUAAAUUCUACAAACUGAAUAAGUUCUAGCAGGAAUGAAGACAGUUGAUGUCUGUCACUCAAAUGGUCACUCCCAAAUUAUUGAGUCUUAAUAAUAGGGUCUUUUUAAGAUAGUGUUGCCAUUUAUGAUUUGUGUCCUUGAUUUGCAUAAAUAUGAUCAUGUUUCAUGGAUUCUAUAUACAUAAAUUUGCUUACUUAGCAUAGUUUAUGUGCAAGCCCCAAAUUAUUCUUCAUCAUGCUUCUGAGGUUAUUUGCAAAUGUGAAUAGAGUUGUGAAAAUUUUUUGCUGCCUGACAUCCAUGUUAUCUGCUAAGGUUGAAUGAGGCAAUGCUGUGCCUUCCUAUUCCUGCUCUUGAACCGUGAGUAUCCUCUUCAGUAUCUACCUAGUGCUACAUCUUCCAUAGUAACUAUGGUUUAGAUAGGAAAUGUCUCCUAAAAUCUCAUGUGAAACAAUGCAAGAAAGUUUAGAGGUGAAAUAUUGGUUUAUGAGAGUUUUGACCUAAUCAGCACAUUAAUCCCCUGAUAGAGAUUAAUUGGGUGGGAAUUGUAGGCAGGUAGUGGGUGGCUGGAGGAGGUUUGUCAUUAGGGUAUGACUUUGGGGUAAAUAUUUUGUCUUUGGUGAGAGAGGAACUCUCUGUGCUUCCUGGUGCCAUGUCCUGAGCCAUUUUCCUUCACCAUACUCUCUGCCAUAAUGUUCUGCUCCACCUUGGGCCCAAAGCAAUGGAAUUGGCCAUCUAUGAGCUGAGACCACUGAAACUGUGAGACCCAAAAUAUAACAAAAUAAACUUUUUCUUCUUUAAUUGCUCUUUUGGUCACAGCAGUGAAAAAGCUAACUAAAACAAAAGUUUUA